GUUUUUAUAAUUUAAUAUAAAAUAUUGGUCUUGUAAAUCAAAAAUAUGAUUAUUCAUUAAAAACA
rnacentral:tRNA from 1 species